CCUACGGGAGGCAGCAGUGAGGAAUAUUGGUCAAUGGGCGCUAGCCUGAACCAGCCAAGUAGCGUGAAGGAUGACUGCCCUAUGGGGUGUAAACUUCUUUUAUAUGGGAAUAAAGUGCAGUAUGUAUACUGCUUUGCAUGUACCUUAUGAAUAAGGAUCGGCUAACUCCGUGCCAGCAGCCGCGGUAAUACGGAGGAUGCGAGCGUUGUCCGGAUUUAUUGGGGUUAAAGGGAGCGUAGGCGGGUUGUUAAGUCAGUAGGGAAAGAUUACAGCUCAACUGUAAAAUUGCUAGUGAUACUAGCAUCCUUGAGUACCAGAGAGGAUGGCAGAAUUCGUGGUGUAGCGGUGAAAUGCUUAGAUAUCAGGAGGAAUUCCGUUAGCGAAGGCGGCCAUCUGGCUGGAAACUGACGCUGAGGUGCGAAAGUGUGGGUAGCAAACAGGAUUAGAUACCCGGGUAGUC
rnacentral:rRNA from 1 species